GCUCAACGGAUAAAAGGUACUCCGGGGAUAACAGGCUGAUACCGCCCAAGAGUUCAUAUCGACGGCGGUGUUUGGCACCUCGAUGUCGGCUCAUCACAUCCUGGGGCUGAAGUAGGUCCCAAGGGUAUGGCUGUUCGCCAUUUAAAGUGGUACGCGAGCUGGGUUUAGAACGUCGUGAGACAGUUCGGUCCCUAUCUGCCGUGGGCGCUGGAGAAUUGAGGGGGGCUGCUCCUAGUACGAGAGGACCGGAGUGGACGCAUCACUGGUGUUCGGGUUGUCAUGCCAAUGGCACUGCCCGGUAGCUAAAUGCGGAAGAGAUAAGUGCUGAAAGCAUCUAAGCACGAAACUUGCCCCGAGAUGAGUUCUCCCUGAGACUUUAAGUCUCCUGAAGGAACGUUGAAGACGACGACGUUGAUAGGCCGGGUGUGUAAGCGCAGCGAUGCGUUGAGCUAACCGGUACUAAUGAACCGUGAGGCUUAACCUUACAACGCCGAAG
rnacentral:rRNA from 1 species